rfam:Ixodes scapularis strain Wikel colony gcontig_1108378714160, whole genome shotgun sequence.
GCCGGGAUGGUCUAAUCGGCUAAGGCGUCGCCCCGGUCAGGCGAAGGUUGCGGGUUCAAUCCCCGCUCCUGGCC